UUUUACAGACUAGACUAUCCCUAACCCGGACUGGGACAACAAAUCAGGCCGGGAGUUUGAUUAACUGAUGGUUUACUCACAUGCUGUCUACAGAGCACACGUGAUGCAUUCAGCCUCUGCAGCCUCUCUGCAGGACACACCCCGGAAGUAUCAUCGUGCAACACCUGGGAGAGAAGCAGCUUGAUGGCGCCGGUGUGGAUACACUUGUUGGUGUUUUACCUUCACUGCUAACAGCCUGCACAUUGUGCUAUCCCGUCAGCGUUGGUGAGUGCAGAGUUUCUGGACCAAACCUGAGGACAGCCGGGUCUCUUCACAUCAUCCUCGUCCUCUUCUUCCUCCACUCGUGAGCACACGUGAUGCAUUCAGCCUCUGCAGCCUCUCUGAAGGACACACCCCGGAAGUAUCAUCGUGCAACACCUGGCAGAGAAGCAGCUUGAUGGCGCCGAUGUGGAUACACUUGUUGGUGUUUUACCUUCACUGAUAACAGCCUGCACAUUGUGCUAUCCCGUCAGCGUUGGUGAGUAAAUAUUGUUAGUAGACAGUGCUGUUGGUGAGCGCGAGAGUCAGGUUAGCUCCCAGUAAACCACACAGUAAAAGUCCUGCAAUGAAAAGGUGACUUGAUGUAGAAUGGCUGGAUUUAGAAUCAUAUUAAGUCAUAGUUUAGAAUCGUGGUUUCUUCAGCCGGGUUUCUUCAUAUCAUCCUCGUCCUCUUCUUCCUCCACUCCUGGUAAAGUAUGUCAUUUAAAAGUCUUAGUAAGCGCACACUUUGAAAUGUAAGCAGAAAGUCCUAGGAUAGUAAAAGCUUUAGAAAUACCAUAAUAGUUUACCAUGCCAUUAGUAAUCUGAUAUAGUGUCGGGAAAAGUCAUAGGAAAGUCAUAAAUAUAGCAAAUACAAAAACAUCGUAAAAAGUAAUUA